AGGCUGUGAUGACGGAAAAGUAUACCAUCAAACUCUGAGAGCCUUGCCUCAUUGAUGUAAUCAUAUAUUUCUGUCGUCUGAGCCU